GGAAUUGUGACUCAGUGGUAGAGUGUUCAGCUAGCAAAUGAGAGGAACUGGGUUCGAUCCUCAGCACCA
rnacentral:tRNA from 1 species